GGAGGAAGUAGGGGAUCGCAAGACCUUGCGCUUUUGGAGCGGCCGAUGCCUGAUUAGCUUGUUGGUGAGGUAAAAGCUCACCAAGGCUCCGAUCAGUAGCUGGUCUGAGAGGACGACCAGCCACACUGGGACUGAGACACGGCCCAGACUCCUACGGGAGGCAGCAGUGGGGAAUUUUGGACAAUGGGGGCAACCCUGAUCCAGCCAUGCCGCGUGAGUGAAGAAGGCCUUCGGGUUGUAAAGCUCUUUCAGCCGGAACGAAACGGUCACGGUUAAUACCCGUGACUACUGACGGUACCGGAAGAAGAAGCACCGGCUAACUACGUGCCAGCAGCCGCGGUAAUACGUAGGGUGCGAGCGUUAAUCGGAAUUACUGGGCGUAAAGCGUGCGCAGGCGGUUUUGUAAGUCAGAUGUGAAAUCCCCGGGCUUAACCUGGGAACUGCGUUUGAAACUACAAGGCUAG
rnacentral:rRNA from 1 species